rnacentral:lncRNA from 1 species
GCCAGAGAGUAAACAAGAUAAAAAAUAAAUCCAUAAACAAAAGCAACAUUCAUAAGUUCAAAGUCUAAAAUCUAUAAAAAAAAAAAAACUAAGAUAAAUCCAGGCUUAGAGUUUCAUUCCCCUAAAAUGCCUUUUAUAGGUCUUAAAAAUGAUGUCGACCCAAUAACUCUGGGUCAACCCAUAAAAAUAUGGGUAAAAAAGCUGGUCAAUUGCUGAUGUGUAGCGUAACGACCUGUGUAUAGGCUGCUAGGCAAGAUGCUACAGCCCCUCCAUAGCGGCCUGUGUAUAGGCACUACAUACCCCUCUUUAGCAGCAUGUCUAUAGGCAGCCGCUAUGCCUCCUGUCUAAUUUGUUCUUCAUUUCUGAGUCGCUGAAGUGGUUGUGCAUUGGCCGCUAGGUGUAGGUCCCUAUGCCCCUGGUUUCUUGACGGGCAUUUGAAAUUCCUGUAGCGGCAGUGAAUAGGCCGCUAGACACACCAUCCGUAUAGGUCGCUAGUUUAGGCUGCUACGAGCUUUCUCGACUCCAAAAUUUCUAUUUUGCUAAUAUAUACUCCUUUUCCAAAAACUUCCAUUCACCUAAGUAUCUAUUCCACAAGGUCCACAAUGCAAAUGUACAUGCAAACCCAUUAAAUGCACCUAAAUUUAUUGUAAAUGAAUUGAAAACAUGAGAAUGAGGAAGUUAUAACCAUGAAAAUAUUGUAAAGGAAUGAUCAAAGAAUUG